rnacentral:lncRNA from 1 species
AUAUUUCAAAUAAGUAAAAAAAUAUAUAUAUAAUUGAUGAGUCAUUUUUGUCGAUAUUUGUGCUUGACUCACCACAUUUAGAACAUGCCACAUAAGUUAUACAGUAAGUUUGAAAAAUAAAUAACUAAAAAGCUGUUGUGUGCCGAGCUAAUUAGUCAGUUAUGUUGUUUCAGAUAUAUUCUUUUUGUAUAAAUAGAUUCAUUCUAAAA